ensembl:lncRNA
CGACAGACAUGCUUCCGACAGCAAGCACGUGCGAUAUGCGGAGUACAGCUAGCUGUGCAGCAUUAACCAGAAUGGAGGAUGGCCCAAGCUUUUCAUCUACCAAUGGCAGUGCUGAAUGCACAGUUGCUGAUGGGACAGAUGCCUUUAACCCUGCACACAAGAAAGAGGUUAAAAGUCGUGGCUUGCUUCGCCUCGAGAAACUCAGGAGACAUCAUAGUGUAUGUGAGCAACGCUACGAGAGGGCACAAAUUAAAAGGUUAAACGACCAGAGGGAGAGGACCUUGUUUCUACACCGUAGCCUCGAUACGAAGAUGGAACAGCAGUUGUCCAGUGACAGCGACAGUUCCAUUAUCAUUAAACCCACUUCAGCUGAUUCUGACGUGGAUACAAGUGUACCUGAGCUCAGAAGGACAGACAGUGUUAUUCUUACCAGACAAAUGCUUGGAUGCCCACCUAUAUCAAGUACGGACAUCAGUGAGGAAGAAUAUGUUCCUCAAACUGCUGAAGAAAGUGACAGUUCUGCAGAAAGUCUCAUACAACACAAAAGAAAGAAGAAAAAAGCACGGAAAACUACUUCAGGUAACUCUCAGGAAGAUGUCCGACAACUGAAGAGAAGGUGUACCCGAACUCAAUGCAAUUCCUCAAAUUCAAAUGCUAAAGAAUCCUCUUCACUUGAUUCAGAAGACAGAAACACAUCUGCUUCAUUUGAUGACACCAGAGAGUCCUCUUCACCUGAUUGUUCUGAUGUGACGGUUAUGACACUGAAGAAGAAGAAACAUGGUGGCAGAUUGUACAACAAAAAGUUCUACUGCAAGUUUUGCUGUAAACCUUUCAGCAAGAUGGCACGCCAUUUGCAAUCAAAACACAAAGAUAAACCAGAAGUGGCAAAAGCAAUGGCUUUCCCAGUAGGGUCUAAAGAGCGGAAAAUACAGUUGAGUUUAUUAAGAAAUCAAGGAAACCGUGCCCACAAUAAUGAGGUGAUUAAAAAAGGACAAGGAAUGGUGAUACCUCGUCAACAAUCCAGUGUACCUGUGAAACCCAGUGAUUACUUGCACUGUAUUAAUUGUCAGGGUUACUUCAAGAGAAGGUCACUAUGGAGGCACAUGCAGAGAUGUCAUCUCAGCAGGAAGGUCAAAGGUUUAAGGCCAGGAACAUCUAGAGUCCAGGCUACGUGUAAAUAUGCAGAGCCAGUCCCAGACAGUGUCAAUGCACAAUUUUGGAAAUUGGUACAAGUCAUGCAUGAUGAUGAGAUAACAAAUGUUGUCCGCAAAGAGAGUUGCAUACUGAAAUUUGGGGAGCAUCUUUUCAAUAAGCAUGGACAUGAUGUCACUAAACACGACUAUAUCAGACAGAAGAUGCGUGAGACAGGGCGACUGGUGCUCCAAGGACAGAAAAAUGGCAAGUUGAAAAUGGUGUCUGAUUUCUUUGUACCAGGUAAUUUCCCUCAUGUUAUUGCAGCAGUGAAAAAUGUUGCUGGCUUGAAUGAGGAAACAAACACAUACAAAACACCAUCUUUGGCACUGAAGUUAGGCCACAAUCUCAAGAAAAUAGCAGAUGUUCUAGAAUGUGAAGCAAUGAUCGCUGGUGAUGAGAAUACUAUUCGCAAUGUAAAGGUGUUCAAGCAAAUCUGUGACACUAAAUGGAGUGAGUGCAUAUCAUCUAAGGCUCUCCGAAAUCUGACUGAGGCAAAAUGGAAUACUCCACAACUUCUUCCCUUUACUGAAGAUGUGAAGAAGAUGCACCAGUAUCUCAACAUACAACGGACGGAGUGUCAUACGAAGCUCAAAGAAGAACCAAAUAAGAAGCACUGGGCAGAACUUGCAAAAAUCACAUUGUGUGAAGUGAUUAUCUUCAACCGUAGAAGAGAAGGAGAAGUUUCCAAAAUGACUCUUAAUGCUUUCACAUUGAGAGACACUUCAUUGACUCAUCCAGAUGUUGAAUUGGCUUUAACUGACCUGGAAAAGAAGCUUUGUAGGCACUUCCAACGAAUAGAGAUAAAAGGCAAACGUGGAAGAAAAGUCCCCAUACUCCUCACACCUGAUAUGAUGACAUCAAUGGAUUUGCUCGUUGACACUCGCCGAAAUUGUGAAGUAUUAGAUGAAAAUCCUUUCAUGUUUGCGAGAACGAAAGCACUUACUCACAUCAGAGGGUCAGAUGUUGUUCGACAGAUCGCGCAGAGCUGUGGAGCAAAACAACCAGAAGCAUUGUCCUCUACUAAAUUAAGGAAGCACAUGGCCACCAUGUCCAAGAUCCUUAACUUAAAAGACAAUGAAAUGGAUAAUCUGGCAGACUUCCUUGGCCAUGAUAUUCGAGUGCAUCGCGAAUAUUACAGACUGCCUGAAGGGACGUUACAGCUGGCCAAGAUAAGCAAAGUCCUUAUGGCCAUGGAACGAGGACAGCUGUCAGAUUUCAAAGGAAGAAAUCUUGACGAAAUAAACAUUGAUCCACAAGAGAAUGUAGCUGUUGACAGUGAUGCAUCAAACAGUGAAGAUGAGGAUAACACGAGUGUGACAGAUGCUGCGUCAUCUGCUGCGUCAUCUGCUGCGUCAUCUGCUGCGUCAUCUGCUGCGUCAUCUGCUGCGUCACCUGCUGCGUCACCUGCUGCGUCACCUGC